AUGCAUGAGUGCAUCUCCAUCCACGUUGGCCAGGCUAGUGUUCAGAUCGGCAACGCCUGCUGGGAGCUCUACUGCCUGGAACAUGGCAUACAGCCUGAUGGCCAAAUGCCAAGUAAUAAGACCAUUGGGGGAGGAGACGACUCCUUCAACAGUGAAACAGGUGCUGGCAAGCAUGUGCCCAAGGCAGUGUUUGUAGACCUGGAACCCACCAUGGUCAUUGAUGAAGUUCGCACUGGUACCUACUGCCAGCUCUUCCACCCUGAGCAGCUCUUCACAGGCAACAAAGAUGCUGCCAAUAACUAUGCCCAUGGGCAUUACACCAUUGGCGAGGAGAUCAUUGACCUUGUCUUGGACCGAAUUUGCAAGCUGGCUGGCCAGUGCACAGGUCUUCAGGGCUUCUUGGUUUUCCACAGCUUUGGUGGGGGAACUGGCUCUGGGUUCACCUCCCUGCUGAUGGAACGGCACUCUGUUGAUUAUGGAAAGAAGUCCAACCUAGAGUUCUCCAUCUAUCCAGCCCCCCAGGUUUCCACUGCUGUCAUUGAGCCCUAA